CCUGGUUUUCACCCAGGCGGCCCGGGUUCGACUCCCGGUGUGGGAACACCGAAAUUUUUUUAGACUGGCGUUUCGUCGAUUUAGAUUCUUCCUAACUCAGAAACGGCAUGUUUUUAGCCAAAACUUUUUCUUUUCAGUAGAGAUGAAGGAAGAAGGAUUGUCUAUUGCCACAAACUGUUUGCCAAAAGAUAGCAUCACCCGCAAUGAUGGCAGAGAAGGGACAAGAUUCCAAGCCAGCUGUGCUGCACCACUUCCUCCCCUCCCCCAGGGCAAGGCGGUUGGUCCCUCUUCUCACCCUGAAACAAAACCUAGAUGCCCUGGGCCUUGCACAGGAAAUGCUAUUUUGGUUAUAGGUGAUAGUUUUUAGUAAACCAAAAGUGUCAACCAUUCACAAAAUGCUCUUCUCUAGCAUUUGAAGACUUUUUAAGCACAUAACCUAGAUCCCGUUGAUUUUUUUCCUCUGGGUAACUUCCCUCUUGUCAGAGUGCACCUUUCCUUAUUCUCUUGCAAAUGAAAAUUGAAGGCGUUUUGUUUGUUUGUUUGUUUGUUUGUUUAUUUAUUUAUUUAUUUAUUUAUUUAUUUAUUUAUUUUUUAACUUAAAUUCUUGUAAGGUGGAGUUUUGGUCUGCUAUUCCUUAGCUGGGUGUGGAAGGCCCUGGGGAGAUUUAUCAGAAUGAAUUUCUAUAUCGAGAAUUACAAUAAUUUGAGCUCUUAUUUAAGGGGUAGCAGAAACAACUGGUACUUUCACAAGCUGGAAAGAGGCCAAUGUCAGAUAUGACAAAUACAGUAAUAAAAAGGGAAAAUAAAAUUCACUUCCUAGGAGGCUCAGCAAUAAUAAAAACAGAAUGAAAAGCUUGGAUAUUUAGAGAGAGGUUCUGUCUCUCACAUAUAUAUGUAUGUGUGUGUGUGUGUAUAUAUAUAUGUAUGUAUAUAUAUGGAUUUCUUCUCCAGAGUGGUUGUCUCUCACAUAUAUAUGUGUGUAUUCAUAUAUGUAUAUAAAUAUAUAUAUAUAUAUAUAAAAUCAUUCUGCUUGUAGGAAAGUUAGACCCUAAGUGUUCAUGAAUGUCUAGUCUCCUGUUACUCUUGUC
rnacentral:lncRNA from 1 species